rnacentral:ribozyme from 11 species
UGAGUGUAUCAUAUCGUGAAUCAUUCUCAUCUUCUCUUCCUGUAUCCUUGUCUCACUCUUUCUUAAUGUUCUUCUCAUCAAAUCGGAGAAAAGUUCUGAGACUGCCUUCGAAGAGAAUGACUGAGAAAUUGCAGGAGAGAAAAGGCAAUGGACCAUCCAGACUGUGCAUUGGUUUGGCGUUUGAUGAUUGCUUUCAGUCAAAUGGAAGAAGACACAAAGAGAA